UAUAAACCGUUGAAGAGAAUAGUAACUGUUUAACAAUUUUAGAGAGUCAGUGGUUGGUGAAAACUGAUAUUUGUUAUUUAGUGAAUCCGCCUCGGAGGGAUUGCGAUGAGCAAUACGGCGAUUGUGUCGUUAAAUUUCAAUUAAGAUAAUCAUUUUAAAUGAUUAAUUAGGGUGGUAACGCGGUCUUUCGUCCCUUAC
rnacentral:ncRNA from 1 species